ACUGUGGAGUAUACGAGAACUUGUGAGUAGUAUAUUUAAUUUUUAUUAAAUUAUGAAAGCAUAUACGUUGAAGCAGUAA
rnacentral:sRNA from 12 species